ensembl:lncRNA
UUCCAGACAUGCUUCUGGAGGUGGUAUAAAUGGUUAUAAACCUUAAGAAGCAGUUUGGUGUAGGACAAAUCACAUCAACAAAAAGGACCGUGCCAUUUUAGAGACCCACUUGUUGUAGCCUGGAGAAACACGAUAAGGAUAUGAGGAAAAGGAGAAUCAAACUUUAUGAUGAAAGAUACUCAUUGCAGGAUUAACUAGGGAGCUGUCAUGACUGGUAAGGAGACCUUAUCAGCUCAGAUCCCCACAAGCAUUAAAUAGUGAAUACAAAAUGACUUAGCAACAGCUUCAAGCCUACCGUAUUUUGAUAAUUAUGUGAAAUAUGUCUUAUAUGAUUGCAAAAUGUAUAUGAGAGUUCAGUUCUCAUAACAGGAACCUGGGCAGACUAAAGAGCCCUACUCCACGUUGUACUCCGCCUGAUGAAAGCAUUUGUCACUCGCAGGAACAGAAAGAAGAGAUGUAAGAACAGCUGCAGCAGCAAGAGCUCCCCCUUUCAGACACCAGGGAGCCCGCAAGUUCUGCCCAGUGUUUUCUGAAUCCUUCAGCACCUAAUGCAGAGGAUCAAAGGCCCACUGAAUCUCUGUGCAGUGGGUUUUUGACUGAUGUGCUGACUCUUUCAGAUCACUCUUCAGGAGAAGGUGGCUCGGGACAACUGGACUGGAAGAAAUCCAAAGACAGAGGCCACCAGAGGAAUCGAGGAGGCAGAAACCAGUGCCAGGAGAAUGUGACAAGGACAUCCCUCCGUGGACAGUCUAUGCAAAUCAGAAUAAACCUCCAUCCCUUCUCUGGCCGCUAUCAAAUGCAGGACCUGGUGCAGCUUCCACGGGAAACAAUAGCUCGGUCCUUAGUAUGGACACAGAGAGGGUCAAGGUGCCAGAACCGGAUGAACUGUCUACCCUCCUCUGGCCGGCCGUCUAGCUCACACAGGAGCACCCGUGGAUCUAACAAUCAUCUCACUACAUCUAACAGAUUUAAGAUGGAAAACUAUCAACUGCAUGGAGUCAACCGACUUUAACAAGACUGAGUUCACUGAAAUGAAAGCAGCAAAGGAGGAUGCUUAGAAAGGCUGGUUUGCUGUGUUGCCCUCAGACUCUUUUGUUCAUGGUGUUGAUUUAAAGGGUUUCAACAGGACACCUGAUUUACUCAAGAACACAUGCAAAAAGACUCUUAGAAACUGAGUCAAAAGCUCUAGACAGAGAAAGACACAUGCAUUUGCUUCUGGUCUCUCAGGCAAUCCUUCAGCAAAUGCCUUCUGGAGCGGCUGUGAUGGAGUGGCUCAGGUGGAAGGUGUAGAAGACGGAAAGGUGGUCAGGACACUGUACCCACCCCCAAAAGAACUUACCAAUGAACAGAACCAAGAUGCCAAUGACACAGAGCAGCCCCCACCCCCGGUGUGGGAUGGAAUAACACAAAGCUGAGUCUCCAGGGAAGACAGGGACAGUUUUACUUUUCCACGUGAAUGAGGGACUCUAAGGUCCUGAUCUCCUCCUGAGAAAAUAAAGGAAACACUGGACAAAAGAGCCAACUCGUAUGAGUGAAUGCACCCAAUUUCUAAGGAGCACAUGAAGAAACAUGAGAACCACAUGGAGAAGAAGGAAGCUUAGGAGAAAGGCAGCCUGGCAGUGGGAGCCAAUCUCCCCAGGACACAUCAAUACAUUCUGGAAGACGCAAGUGAACUAUAAAGAAGCUGAACAACUUUAUGGGCAUGGGCUUAGAAGGAAACAAGUGAAGUUCAGGGUCACCCAGCAAAGGUGAGCCCUAGUGAAACCGCGGGCUUUGGCUGGGACCCAAGAGAGUUACACCUAAAAUGUCAGGUGGAGGGGAAAUACCCUGGCCUUCUUAGGGACUGGGCUACAGUGAGGGAUGUCAGUUGUACACUGAAUGAAGGGAUCCGGGACUGCUGAAGCCCCAACCCACUUUCCACAAAGAAACUCCCAGUGUUUCUGCAGCAAGACAAUUCCAUUUUUCUAUCCACAUUAUUGACCCAAGACCCGUACUGAACCAAAAGUGACUGAAUUCAGGGCUGAUGAGAACAUAUGAUGACACUGAAACCUAAAGGACAAUGCAGACAGACCCAGAGGGGAUCCAGGUAUCAAAGUUUGUAAUGAUGGUACCUUCCCUCUUCUACUCCAAGGAGUCACACAACAAGCACGACAAGCAGUUAGAACAGAAAGGGAAAUGCAGGUUACACACAUCAAGGCAGGAAGGGCAGGCACAAUUCUACAGAAUGCAUUUGGCAAAAAUACUCGAGAUCUAAUUCUAAAAGAAAUACAAGUAUCUAGACAGGCCGUCACAUAACUUCAUACAACAGUAUUUGUGACAAUUCACACAGGAAUAGCUUACUCUUCUGCAGCCACUUGUCUUUGUUUAGAGAAAUCCACCACAAUAUCCACUUUCCUCCUCAGCAUUUUCAAUUCGGCUUCUUGAGUUGUUUUCAAAGAACUCAGGGCAUUGUAGUGGUCGUUCAAUAAUUCUUCACAUUCUGGAAAGGAAUGUGUGUGUAUGUGCACAUGACCUGAGAACUUGGGUUUGAUGGGGAAAGGAGAAGGGCAAGACCUUGAAGGCAGGAAGGCAUUCUUUCCCUUCCCAAUGCAAACUCAUUGCCACCAGUAUGGGGAUUUCUUCCCCCAAAUAACAUACCCUGCAGUGCUCGUUUUUUGGCCCUCAAGGCUCUCUGCUCUCCAUCCUCCAAUUCUUCUUGGCCCUUUAGGACAGAUAUGAGAAAAGACAUUCAAGAAAUCAUGAUCACAGAACAAUGUGAGGAUGCCUAACAGGACAGGAUCAUGCAGUGCAACAAAGAAAGCCCUUAAGGCCUAAGAGAAUCAGGAGAAAGUAAGCAAAGUGGAAAAUAGUUCAAGUCAAAGAACUCACAAAUGGCUUUCUUAGUGGCUUUCCUUCAUAUAUAUAUCCACAUACAUACAUAUAUACACAUCUUCCCCUCUUCACAUUGAAAAUGCUCUGUUUGGCCUUAAGAGGAAGGCACUGUACAAUUGGGCCAGCCAUCGCCCUUCAUCGCCCAAGUAUCUUGUGGGGAUUUUCUACAGAUCUUGGAAUUAAAGCCUGAAACCAGCAGGAGAAGAGACAUAAGAUUAGGGCAGAAAUCAAGGAAAUAGAAACCAAAGGAACAGUAGAACAGAUCAACAAAACUAGGAGCUGGUUCUUUGGAAGAAUUAAUAAGAUGGAGAAAACCCUGCCCAGACUUAUCAAAAAGAAAAGAGAAAGGACCCAAAUAACUAAAAUCCUGAAUGAAAGAGGAGAGAUCAAAACUAACACCAAAAGAUACAAACAAUUAUAAGAACAUAUUAAGAGAAACAAAAUGCCAACAAAUUAGGCAAUCUGGAAGAAAUGGAUGCAUUCCUAGAGACGUCUAAACUACCAAAACUGAACUAGGAAGACAUAAAGAACCUGAAGAGACCCAUAACCAGCAAGGAAACUGAAGCAGUCAGUAAUCAAAGAUCUCCCAACAAACAAGAGCCCAGGGCCAGACGCCUUCCCAGGGGAAUGCUACCAAACAUUUAAAGCAGAAUUAAUACCCAUUCCUCUAAAGUGGUGUCAAAACACAGAAAUGGAAGGAACACUUCCAAACUCUUUCUAUGAGGACAGCAUUACCUCAAUCCUAA